CAGUAAUGUCUCCUGCUAUUGUUCCACUUCCUGGCUCUGAUAUGUUGCAACCGGCUGCUGGAGUUGUGCCUACUCUUGAGACAGCCGCAACAAUGCCCAGUAACGACGCCUUGCACCUGUCAACCGCAGCUGUGCCAGUCAUUGAUGAGGCAGUUGGUGAAUCACAUACUGAAGACCUGCAGCAAGAUGUUGAUGAAAAUGUGCAGAACGUGAUCCUUGAACCAUCCAGG